UACGAAGGGUGCAAGCGUUACUCGGAAUUACUGGGCGUAAAGCGUGCGUAGGUGGUUCGUUAAGUCCGAUGUGAAAGCCCUGGGCUCAACCUGGGAAUGGCAUUGGAUACUGGCGGGCUAGAGUGCGGUAGAGGGUAGUGGAAUUCCCGGUGUAGCAGUGAAAUGCGUAGAGAUCGGGAGGAACAUCCGUGGCGAAGGCGACUACCUGGACCAGCACUGACACUGAGGCACGAAAGCGUGGGGAGCAAACAGG
rnacentral:rRNA from 2 species